AUUGACAGCAUGACCGAUGUUGACCCCUCUGUUUAUGCCAGUUACUAUUGGGUUUCAUCUCAGUAUCAUAAAACGCGGCAGGAAUUUGCAGAGUUUUACAAAAGCGCUCUCCUCUAUCUUGCAUACGUUUCAGUGGAUUCUCUUUCGGAGUCAUUCAAGCUGGAUUUGGCGUUUGAUUUGUCCUUGUCUGCUUUACUGGGAGACAACGUAUACAAUUUUGGGGAGUUGCUUGCUCAUCCUAUAAUAAAGAGUUUGGUAGGGACACAAGUUGAAUGGCUAUAUCAUAUCCUUGAAGCAUUCAACACUGGUGAUUUAGUUCGUUAUCAAGAAUUGUGCCGUGUCCAUAAAGCUGCUUUAAGUGCUCAACCAGCAUUAUUGCAGAACGAGAAAAAGCUUCUCGAGAAGAUCAACAUUCUGUGCUUGAUGGAAAUCAUCUUCAGUCGCCCAGCAGAGGAUAGAACUAUUCCAUUGAGUGCCAUUGCAGAGCGCACUAAACUUAGCGUGGAAGAUGUAGAGUAUCUCUUAAUGAAGAGUCUCUCUGUACAUCUGAUAGAGGGAAUAAUCGAUCAAGUGGAAGGGACUGUUCACGUGUCCUGGGUUCAACCAAGAGUUUUGGGUGUUCCUCAGAUCAAGUCACUGCGAGAUCGGCUAGACAAUUGGGUGGAUAAAGUACACACUGCCUUGUUAUCUGUGGAAGCUGAAACUCCUGAUUUGGUUUCAUCAUAAUCUUAGUUUCCCAGUUUGCACUUCCUGGUCCCUGCAGCACUCCGAUUUCUUCGUCCUCUCUUUUUUGCUGUGCUUACGAGAGCUUGUAACACAACAGAGGAAUUUUGUGAGACAUUUGUUUAGUUUUCUCAGGCCUACACUCUGUACUGUGGCUUAUAUCCCAAAUCAUUGAUCUGUCACUGUUUUCUGGAUUUAGGUGCUUGUUCAGUCACCACUUUGUAGUCUAUAGACUACUAUAGCGACGACA
rnacentral:misc_RNA from 1 species